rnacentral:sRNA from 1 species
AGCAAAUCAUCUUCUGAUUAAAAUAGUGUGCCGAAAAAAGCCCCUUAGGGUGAAUUGACGGAUUGCAUUGUCAGAAAACAUGGGAUAUAAUAUGGAUAUUCGCCAUAGAUGGCGGUAUUUUUAGGAGGUUGUUCAUUUGAAAGGUACAGUUAAAUGGUUUAACGCAGAAAAAGGUUACGGCUUCAUUUCCGUUGAAGGUGGCGAGGAUGUAUUCGUACACUUCUCCGCAAUUCAAGAAGAAGGCUUCAAGAGUUUGGAAGAAGGUCAAGCGGUUGAGUUCGACAUCACAGAAGGUAACCGUGGUCCUCAAGCAGCCAACGUAACAAAACUGUAAGCUAACUCCCGAUACGGAGAUCUUAUAGAAUUACCAAGGCAUGAAGCACAGUUCUCUAACGAGAACUGUGCUUUU